UAAUCCCAGCACUCGGGACUCAGACAGGUGAGUUCAAGGUCAGCUUGGUCUACAGAGGGGGUUCCAGGACUGUUAAGGCUGCAGAGAGAAGCCCUGUUGGGGGGAGGGGAACCCUGAACAAACAGUGGUCAGCUUUCCCCUCCGAGUCUGAUUUGGCGUCAGCUCUAGCCGAACAAUGACGAGGAAAUGACAGAAGGAAAUGACAGGGACAGAAUGGAAAGACAGCUGCAGGAUCUGGUCCUCUGGCUUGAUUGUUUCCUUUCCAAACAAAGUAGAACCGCGGAACUAGGGAGCAAACCGGAAAAGAACAGGACCUUCAGGAGGGUGGGCUGAGAAGAUGACUGACAGGCUCCACAGAGCGAGAUGGUUGCCAGAGACCAAUCGAACUUUCUGGGGCUCAAGAGAUGGCUCGGAGGUGAAGAGAGCUAAGAGGUUAAGAUCUUCAAGAGGAAUCUGGUUCAAUUCCCAGCACCCACAUGGCAGUUCACAGCUGUCUGCAGCUUCAAGGAUCUCACUUCAAGGAUACCAUCAAGAUAGUACAGCAAGCAGUUUUACAGCCUGAACCAUCUUGCUGACCCUGUUUGUUUUUGCCAUGGCAGGAGGAGUCUAUCUAUGUAACCUAUAAAAGCCUAUGCAAUCUGUUG